rnacentral:lncRNA from 1 species
CCUACACCUUUCAUACGUUAUAUGCGAGAUGGUUUCAUGUAUUAUAUAACCCAUAACCAUAACAAAUACAUGAAAAAAACUCAAGUCUCAUAUGAAGUUGUAGAAAAACCAUAACCAUAACCUGCAUCUUUCAUAUGUUAUAUGCGAGAUAGUUUCAUGUAUAACCUAAACAAAUACAUGAAAAAAACUCAAGUCUCAUAUGAAGAUGUAGACAACAA